UGCGUUGUUGUAGCCAUUUUGGCCAUGCUACAACGAUGCAGACAGCUCUCUUUGUCACUCCUACAACGUGCUUGUUCAAACAACACAUUUUCUUUCAGGUUUUGUGCUUUAGGCAGAGUGACAUGAUGCAGGAUGGAGUUGCGAAGAGUUCCAGGACACGGUCAAAGAUGGCUGGAACAGUCGGAUGGAUUUGCAAUCAUGCAAUAAAGGCCCACAUGAGACGCCAUGGUCAAAUGGUUGGAGAUCGUUGAGAGUUUGCAGCUAUUGAUGAAAGUUGUUGUAAUAAUAGCAAGUAUCACCACAGAAGGGCCGGUGCAACAUGGCGACGGAAAAAGUGGGUAUUAAGAAUAUUAGGAGUAGGUGACCGCCAGAAACAUCCUGUCUUGUGGCUGGUGUGGUUAAACAAGUGCGU